CUUACCCUUUUACUGUUAUAAAGAAAUAAUAAGAAGAUUAUCGCGUAUUUACAGACCACCAAGAGGGGGGAGAGAGAGAGAGAGAGCUUAGACUUGAUCCCAAUGGGUGUUUUGUUUUCACUGUAGAAAUCGCGUAGAAAAUAAUUGAAAAAGAAAAAUCCAAAAACAAAGGGAGGAAGAAGGAAAAGAAUAGCCGUAGUUGAUACUUAAUAUUGAUGAGAAAGGGGACGCUGUGGUAGCUAAGAGACGAUAGUAAGACAACCUCUGCAAUCUAUGUAGAGAUAGAGAUAGCGAUUGUCCAACUUCAUUCGGAUAUAGAUUGGUUGUUCUAAAUGGAUCCAAUGGCUGAAGAGCAAAUAGAUUAUGAAGAUGAGGAAUAUGGAGGGGCUCAGAAGCUUCAGUAUCAGGGAAGUGGAGCCAUCUCUGCGCUUGCAGAUGAAGAACCCAUGGUAGAAGAUGAUGAGUAUGAUGAUCUCUAUAAUGAUGUUAAUGUUAGAGAGGGUUUCUUGCAGAUGCACCGGUCUGAGGCACCACUCCCACCUGGUGGUGUUGGCAAUGGAGGUCUCCAAGCACAGAAAACUGAUGUUACUGAAACAAGAGUUCAAGCUGGUGUCUCUCAGGAAUCGAAAAUUCCUGGGGUUUCAGUUCAAGGGAAGUAUUCUAGUGCUGUGGCCCAGUUUCCAGAACAACAGGGUCAGCCACCAGUGGCUAAGGAGCCAGAACUGGGAUCCACAGGUUAUGUGGGUGGAGCUUCUGGAUCUCAAAAGGGGAGGGCUAUGGAGAUGAGUCAUGAUACUCAAGUCAGACAUAUGGGGUUUCAGGGGUCGACAACUAUGCCCCCAAAUGUCGGUGGUGAUUCUUCUGACAUUACUGGGAAAACUGCUCUCGAGUCUGUUCCGUCUAUGAAUUCUGGCACUGCUGGUCCUACAGGAGUUACACAGAUGCCGACUAAUCAAAUCAGUAUCAAGGUAAAUGCUAAUCGUCCAAUGUUUAAUGAAAACCAAAUCCGGCCACCAGUUGAAAAUGGUUCAACCAUGCUGUUUGUGGGAGAACUACAUUGGUGGACAACUGAUGCUGAGCUUGAAAGUGUUUUAUCUCAGUAUGGGAGGGUCAAGGAAAUUAAGUUUUUUGAUGAGAGAGCCAGUGGUAAAUCCAAAGGAUAUUGUCAGGUUGAGUUUCAUGAUCCAGCUGCUGCCACUGCAUGCAAAGAGGGAAUGGAUGGUUAUCUUUUCAAUGGGAGAGCUUGUGUUGUGGCUUUUGCUUCUCCACAGACUUUGAAGCAGAUGGGAGCUUCUUAUUUAAGCAAAUCCCAAGGCCAGACUCAGUCUCAGCAACCAGGAAGAAGGCCCAUGAACGAGGGUGUUGGAAGGGGAGGAGGUGUGAACUAUCAAACUGGAGACACUGGAGGGAGGAAUUUUGGAAGGGGUGGAUGGGGACGAGGUGGACAGGGAGUAGCCAACAGAGGUCCUGGAGGUGGAGGACCAAUGAGAGGAAGAGGAGGGGCCAUGGGCGCAAAGAACAUGGCUGGGAACCCUGCUGGUGUUGGAACUGGUGCUAAUGGAGGCUAUGGACAGGGCCUUGCAGGUCCUGGGUUUGGAGGUCCUGUAGGAGGUAUGAUGAAUCCACAGGGUAUGAUGGGUGCUGGAUUUGAUCCAACAUAUAUGGGCCGAGGAGGCGGUUAUGGAGGAUUUCCAGGUCCUGCUUUUCCUGGAAUGCUUUCUUCAUUUCCUGCUGUUAAUACAAUGGGACUUGCUGGGGUGGCUCCUCAUGUAAACCCAGCUUUCUUUGGCAGGGGAAUGGCAACUAAUGGAAUGGGAAUGAUGGGUUCUUCUGGAAUGGAUGGGCAUCAUGCAGGGAUGUGGAAUGACCCAAGCAUGGGUGGGUGGGGAGGAGACGAACAUGGUCGAAGAACUAGGGAGUCAAGUUAUGGUGGUGAUGAUGGUGCUUCUGAGUAUGGGUAUGGAGAGGCAAAUCAUGAAAAAGGAGGAAGGUCAAAUGCUCCCUCGAGGGAAAGAGAACGGGGAUCUGAGCGUGACUGGUCAGGAAACUCUGAGAGGAGGCAUCGUGAUGAGAGGGAACAAGACUGGGACAGGUCUGAAAGAGGGGAGCACAGGGAGCAUCGGUACAAAGAAGAAAAAGAUAGUUACCGAGACCAUCGACAGAGAGAGCGUGAUGUGGGUUAUGAGGAUGACUGGGACAGAGGUCAGUCUUCUUCAAGACCUCGGAGCCGGUCCAAAGCAAUGCCGGAAGAUGAUCAUCGGUCUCGAUCAAGGGAUGUUGAUUACGGGAAGAGGAGACGGUUGCCAUCUGAGUGACACAAUUAGACUAUUGACCUUCUCUAGCAUGUCUUUGAGACUGCAGAAUAUAAGUUCUGACCAUUAGUAUAUCUAGCCUUGGGUACCUACGGUGAAUCUGUAUUCUUCCUGCAAACGUGGCUUCUUGAGGGAGAAGGAGUAGAGUGGGCAACUCCUUUUCAUAAUUGAAUCAGCCUGUGCUGGUCACAUGAUGGAAGAUGUGUUACAUGGAUGCGUUUCCAAGUGUGCAAAAGAAGCUUUUGACUAUUUUGACUUUCACCUUAUUUUCUUGAAGCACCACUUAAAAAUAUGUAUUAGUGCUCCUGCAACAAAAUAUCUAGAAAGAGUGUUCUCCAACUAGUGAAAUAUUAAGUGCAGACUUGUCAGUGUGCAUGUAAAGAACUGAAUGUCCUUGUGUAAUUGUAGGCCUUUUGUAUUAGGUCCACAUGUAAUGCCCUUUUCUGUUGUAAUAGUCUUGUAUGGAAUUGGAUGUGCUUGGUUGUAGAUAUUCAGUGUGUUGUAACUUCCAUUGUCUGCUCUAUGCACUAGGGAGUUGGGAUUGAUCCAUUAAGACAUUGUAACAGGAAGCCACUGUGCUAAAUUGUAAUUAGUCAUAGAUUUAUACAACACAGUUUCUGUUGAAGCAA